UACGGAGGGUGCAAGCGUUAUCCGGAUUUACUGGGUUUAAAGGGUGCGUAGGUGGGUAGGUAAGUCAGUGGUGAAAUCUUCGAGCUUAACUCGGAAACUGCCAUUGAUACUAUUUAUCUUGAAUACUUUGGAGGUAAGCGGAAUAUGUCAUGUAGCGGUGAAAUGCUUAGAUAUGACAUAGAACACCAAUUGCGAAGGCAGCUCACUACGCGAAUAUUGACACUGAGGCACGAAAGCGUGGGGAUCAAACAGG
rnacentral:rRNA from 1 species